AUCCAAGGAAGGCAGCAGGCGCGCAAAUUACCCACUCCCGGCACGGGGAGGUAGUGACGAAAAAUAACAAUACGGGACUCUUUUGAGACCCCGUAAUUGGAAUGAGUACACUCUAAAUCCUUUAACGAGGAUCCAUUGGAGGGCAAGUCUGGUGCCAGCAGCUGCGGUAAUUCCAGCUCCAAUAGCGUAUAUUAAAGUUGUUGCGGUUAAAAAGCUCGUAGUUGGAUCUCAGUUCCAGACGGGUGGUCCUCCUACCGGGGGUUACUGCCUGUUCUGAACAGCCAGCCGGUUUCUCUUGAUGAUCUUCACCGGUUGUCUUGGGUGACCGGCAAGUUUACUUUGAAAAAAUUAGAGUGCUCAAAGCAGGCGUGACGCCUGAAUAAUGGUGCAUGGAAUAAUGGAAUAGGACCUCUGUUCUAUUUUGUUGGUUUUCGGAACACGAGGUAAUGAUUAAGAGGGACAGACGGGGGCAUUCGUAUUGCGACGCUAGAGGUGAAAUUCUUGGACCGUCGCAAGACGAACUACUGCGAAAGCAUUUGCCAAGAAUGUUUCCAUUAAUCAAGAACGAAAGUUAGAGGUUCGAAGGCGAUCAGAUACCGCCCUAGUUCUAACCAUAAACGAUGCCAGCCAGCGAUCCGGCUGUGUUCCUCAAAUGACACGCCGGGCAGCUUCCGGGAAACCAAAGCUUUUGGGUUCCGGGGGAAGUAUGGUUGCAAAGCUGAAACUUAAAGGAAUUGACGGAAGGGCACCACAAUGAAUGGAGCCUGCGGCUUAAUUUGACUCAACACGGGAAAACUUACCCGGCCCGGACACAGGAAGGAUUGACAGAUUAAGAGCUCUUUCUUGAUUCUGUGGGUGGUGGUGCAUGGUCGUUCUUAGUUGGUGGAGCGAUUUGUCUGGUUAAUUCCGAUAACGAACGAGACUCUAGCCUACUAAAUAGACGCUCCGAUCAUCUCGGUCGGACGUUCUUCUUAGAGGGACAAGCGUCGUCUAGACGCACGAGACAGAGCAAUAACAGAUCAGUGAUGCCCUUAGAUGUCCGGGGCCGCACGCGCGCUACAUUGAAGGAAUCAGCGUGUGCUUUCCCUGUCCGACAGGACUGGGUAACCCGUUGAACCUCCUUCGUGCUGGGGAUAGCAAAUUGCAAUUGUUUUGCUUGAACGAGGAAUUCCUUGUAAGCACGAGUCACUAGCUCGUGUUGAUUACGUCCCUGCCCUUUGUACACACCGCCCGUCGCUACUAUCGAUUGAAUGAUUUAGUGAGGUCUUCGGACUGGCUCCCUCAGCGGCCCCUCGUGGUCGCGGAGGCGAUUCGGAAAGAUGACCAAACUUGAUCAUUUAGAGAAAGUAAA
rnacentral:rRNA from 1 species